GGAAAGUACUCUUCUGAAAACACAAAAUAGCUUUUCUAAAUAGCCUUACACAAGAACCACCACUUUUAAACUUGAGUUAGCCACUAAAAAAACUUAGCUACAAAGAGGGAAAAUAUCUUAAUGACUAAAUCAAACUAAAAGAAGUCAGCAACGGUUCCUAAUGUAAAGGAUAACAAAACAACCUUACUUCCUAAUUAAUAGGAUUUAUUAGACAGAAAAGCAAAACAAAUAAAAACAAACAGUUACUAACUUCAAAUAGGAAUCAACUUUCAGAGGUUUUGUAAAGAUGUCGGCAAUUUGCUCAUCACUUUUGCAGUAACAUAGUUCCACAACUCCCUCUUUAGCAAGAUCACGGAGAAAAUGAAACCUCACAUCAAUGUGUUUACUUCUUCCAUGUAGAACUGGAUUUUUUGACAAUUUAAUAGUUGAACUGUUAUCGCAAAAUAACAUAAGUGGACCUUGUUGUGUACAUUUUACCUCUUCCAAAAUUCUUCUAAGCCAAAUACGUUGACAAGCACAUGCUGCAGCAGCUAUAAAUUAUGCUUCAGUUGUAGAUAAAGUCACAACAGGCUGUUUCUUUGAAGACCAAGAGACUGCAGCUCCACUUAAGAGAAAGACAUACCCAGAAGUACUUUUGCGAUCAUCCAAAUCACUAGCAUAAUCACUGUCACUGAAACCAACUAGCACAUUUAUUUCACUCUUCUUAUAGAACAAGCCAUAAUUAACAGUACCUUUCAAUUAGCGAAGUAUUUCUUUCAAGUAGCGAAGUAUUUCAAUAUCCUCAGUCGUUCAAAGGUGCUUUGCAGCCGAGGGUUGCGGAAACCAGUUUAAUUGCUGGAACUUACUUUUUUUAUGUUCCAGUAUUGAGGUUUUGGUGUACCUCUUUUGGUUCUUGUUGGCCUGUUGUGUGAAUCUUUUGACCUGCUACAGCAGGAUAUUGAAUCCCUUUUUUGACACUUUCGGGUACAUCUUGUGCUUCGGAG
rnacentral:lncRNA from 1 species